rfam:Jatropha curcas cultivar GZQX0401 scaffold684_68, whole genome shotgun sequence.
AUGAGGUGUGAUGAUACUUAUCCACCAGUUCUGCUAUUGGAUGAUGAAUUUUAUUCAUGCACUACCAUCUGAUCUCUG